rnacentral:rRNA from 1 species
UUGCUGGUGGUUUUAGCGAGGUGGAAAUACCCGGCUCCAUUCCGAACCCGGAAGUCAAGCACCUCUGCGCUGAUAAUACUGCUCCCUACGGGAGUGGAAACGUAAGCCGCUGCCAGCUC